GCUUCUCAGGCUGACUGAUUGGUGGGGCCAUAUUUUCCCAAAAUGGCCACCUCCAGAGAAAGGCACUGCUGCUGAAUAUUCCCCAGAGCUUUGCUUUCAAUGUCCAUUCCUCACAAUAAGCCACAUUCAUCCCUUUUUUCCCAGGAUGUCCUCCAAGAACUGCAGUCAGGUUUGACCCAGAUUCCUAUGGAGACCUCACUCUGCCCUGGGACUCAGUGCAUGUGAAAGUCUGUGUGCGCCUUUUAAGAAUGGGGUCUCCGUUUCCCCCAGUCCUGUGGAUCUCCUGUGCACAAGCCCCACUGGCCUUCAAUGCCAAAUGCUCCAGGGGCUCUUUCUCCCAAUGCCAGGUCCCCGCACGCGAGGGUUUGAUGUGGGGCUCAGAACUCUCACUCCUGUAGGUGAGUUUCUGUGAACCAGUUAGUUUUCAGUCUGUGGAGCUUCCCACCCAAGAGGUGUGGGGUUGUUUAUAUCACGAAAUCACCCCUCCAACCUCUUGAAGGGGCCUCCUCUUUUUCUUCUGGAGUAGGGUAUCUUUUUUAAGGUUUCCAGUCCAUUUGGGUGGAGAUUGCUCAGGCUUUAGUUGUAGAUUUUUUUGUUUUUUAGGAGAAAAGUUGAGCUCCAGUCCUUCUAUUCCACCAUCUUCCAGUCCUAACAUUUUAAAGGGAUUUUUGGUAUCCUGUGAAGAGUAGCUUCUAUUAAAGUAGAAUUCUGGACAGAAACAGUAACAAAGAUGUUUCAUUCAAAGGAAAGGAAAGGAGAUUGUAAUUUUAAUCUUAAGACUAUUUUUCCACUUUAAGAAAUACCAUUUAGGGAGUUCCCAUCGUGGCUCAGUUGUAAUGAACCUGACUAGGAUCCAUAAUAACACUGGUUUGAUCCCUGGCCUCGCUCAGUGGUUUAAGGAUCUGGUGUUGCCAUGAGCUGUGGUGUAGGUCACAGUCUCAGCUUGGACGUGCCAUUGCUGUGGAGAUUUGGAGGAUAUCUACUACCUUUCACAGUGCUUGUAGGGGAAGAUUGGGCAUUGAAGCCUUUUAUCAUUCACAUUGAAACGUGUUCCAAUUGAACUUUAAUGUUAAUGUCCUAAAUGUUGGUCACCUAUUGUCCAGAGAGUAUUUUGAAAUUGAUAACUGUUUGCCAUGGACAGACUUGAGGAUAGUCCGGUAAGAGAUGAGGAGGAGAACCUAAAGAGAAGGGAGAAAAGAGAGAAAUUAUAAAGUAAAAUCCAUUGAAUUUUGUAAUUUUCUAAGUGAAAGGAACCUGUGCUUCUGGCUUUGCUGAAUGGGUGGAUGGUUGUGUGUGGUGGUGAGUUACAGAACAGUGGAGGGAGUGUUGCUGGCUGGAGAAUCAGGGAUGAUGAAAAUGUUAAAGAUACAUAUAGAGGUAGGAUCUAAGUGGAUUUUUUGGCAUAGAAAUCUAAAGUUUUAGAGGGAGAGUGAUCAUAAAGAUACAUUUUGGGAUCUUGGUGAUAGAUAGUAAUUGAAGAUCUGGGAGUAAAUCAGAUCCUCUAGGAAAACGUGUCAGGUACAGAAGGAAGAGGUUAAAGCCCUAACUGAACAAAGUGCUUUUUUGUUUUGUUUUGUUUGAUGGUUGUUUAUUGACUCGCUCUAAGAGUAUCAAUAGUGAAUUUUCAGAUAGCUUUAGUGCAUCAUAACAUAAUUAAUAUAAAUUCUCCAGCGUGGAGGUCCCAUUGUUGCUCAGCAGUAACAAACCCAACUAGUAUCCAUGAGGUUGCACAUUUGAUCCCUGGCCUCGCUCAGUGGGUUAAGGAUCCAGCCUUGCCAUGAGCUGUGGUAUAGGUCACAGAUGUGGCUCAGAUCCCACAUUGUUGUGGCAGUGGUGUAGGCUGGCAGCUGCAGCUCCCAUUUGACCCCUAGCCUGGGAACUUCUGUAUGCCACACAUACAGCCCU
rnacentral:lncRNA from 1 species